rnacentral:rRNA from 1 species
GACGAACGCUGGCGGCGUGCUUAACACAUGCAAGUCGAACGGAGUAAAGAGCUUCGGUUUUUUUACUUAGUGGCGAACGGGUGAGUAACGCGUGAGGAACCUGCCUUUCAGUGGGGGACAACAGUUGGAAACGACUGCUAAUACCGCAUGAUACUAUUGAGUGGCAUCACUUGAUAGUCAAAGAUUUAUUGCUGAAAGAUGGCCUCGCGUCUGAUUAGCUAGUUGGUGGGGUAACGGCCCACCAAGGCGACGAUCAGUAGCCGGACUGAGAGGUUGACCGGCCACAUUGGGACUGAGAUACGGCCCAG